rnacentral:rRNA from 1 species
GUAGUUAGCCGGGGCUUCCUCCUUGGCUACCGUCACUUCCUUCGUCACCAAGGACAGAGGUUUACAAUCCGAAAACCUUCUUCCCUCACGCGGCGUUGCUGGGUCAGGCUUUCGCCCAUUGCCCAAUAUUCCCCACUGCUGCCUCCCGUAGGAGUUUGGACCGUCUCUCAGUUCCAAUGUGGCCGUUCAUCCUCUCAGAUCGGCUACCGAUCGCAGACUUGGUGGGCCGUUACCUCACCAACUAUCUAAUCGGACGCGAACUCACCCCAAACCGGAUUGCUCCUUUGACCCCUCGACCAUGCGGUCAUGUGGUCUCAUGCGGUAUUAGCAGAUGUUUCCAUCUGUUAUCCCCCUGUUCGGGACAGAUUGUUCACGCGUUACUCACCCGUCCGCCGCUAAAACAGUUCCUAGCAAGCUAUUCCCUGUCUCCGCUCGACUUGCAUGUGUUAGGCACGCCGCCAGCGUUCGUCCUGAGCCAGAAUCAAACUCUGA